rnacentral:rRNA from 1 species
AUUGAACGCUGGCGGCAGGCCUAACACAUGCAAGUCGAGCGGAUGAAGGGAGCUUGCUCCUGGAUUCAGCGGCGGACGGGUGAGUAAUGCCUAGGAAUCUGCCUGGUAGUGGGGGAUAACGUCCGGAAACGGGCGCUAAUACCGCAUACGUCCUGCGGGAGCAAGCGGGGGAUCUUCGGACCUCACGCUAUCAGAUGAGCCUAGGUCGGAUUAGCUAAUUGGUGGGGUAAAGGCCUACCAAGGCGACGAUCCGUAACUGCUCUGAGAGGAUGAUCAGUCACACUGGAACUGAGACACGGUCCAGACUCCUACGGGAGGCAGCAGUCGGGAAUAUUGGACAAUAGGCGGAAGCCUGAUCCAGCCAUGCCGCGUGUGUGAAGAAGGUCUUCGGAUUGUAAAGCACUUUAAGUUGGGAGGAAGGGCAGUAAGUUAAUACCUUGCUGUUUUGACGUUACCAACAGAAUAAGCACCGGCUAACUUCGUG